rnacentral:rRNA from 1 species
GUCCAGACUCCUACGGGAGGCAGCAGUGGGGGAUAUUGCACAAUGGGGGGAACCCUGAUGCAGCGACGCCGCGUGGGUGAAGAAGCGCCUCGGCGCGUAAAGCCCUGUCAGCAGGGAAGAAAAUGACGGUACCUGAAGAAGAAGCCCCGGCUAACUACGUGCCAGCAGCCGCGGUAAUACGGAGGAUGCGAGCGUUAUCCGGAUUUAUUGGGUUUAAAGGGUGCGUAGGCGGAAUAUCAAGUCAGCGGUAAAAAUUCGGGGCUCAACCCCGUCGUGCCGUUGAAACUGAUGUUCUUGAGUGGGCGAGAAGUAUGCGGAAUGCGUGGUGUAGCGGUGAAAUGCAUAGAUAUCACGCAGAACUCCGAUUGCGAAGGCAGCAUACCGGCGCCCAACUGACGCUGAAGCACGAAAGCGUGGGUAUCGAACAGGAUUAGAUACCCCGGUAA